CAUUUUGUGGUUAUAUUGCUUUGUUCCUAAAAUGGGACAUUACGUUCCAGACCUGCAACUAAAUCUGGAAAUUAUUGUUAAAGAGGAUAUUUUUCUGUUGCAUCCAUUGCCUCUCCAUUUCUCAUAUCAGACUAUCAGUACCAGGGAAGCAGCCAUUGAAGUCAUUGUAACAGCUCAUAUAUGUUAUUUUGUAAUCAUAUUUCAUACCUGAACCAAGGAGCUAGUAAACGGAUGAAAGGUGAGAAGCAGCUUAUUGACAAACUUAUACAAACAGAGAUAAAUCUAUUCCGAGCAAUCAGAGAUGGGACUGCUUUAAUGCAACACAUGGAGGACUUCUAUUAUAUCACGUUAUUGCAGUGUGUAAGAUCAAGAUUCUUGCAGCGGUAAUAAUGAAUGCAAAUGAGUGAGCGAAGGGAAUGAUCACUGCAAAUGUAUAUAUCUUGAUUAUUGUACAUUAAUAAUCCAAUUUUUUAAUUAUUUUUGUUUACUUAUUUGCCGUCCCACAUUUUCUUUUAUCCUCCAUGACUUGAGUAUUUUUUCUUAAUGCAAGUAUGCUUUCUAAAAAUGUAUCUAUUGCUCAAAUUACAAAUGUGAAAAAGAAAUCAAUCUAUCUUAACAGUAUUGUAAGCAUUCUUGUACCAAGUAUGUUUUCUAAGUGUGUCCAUUGCACAAAUUACAAAUGUACAAAAUUGAUAGAUCGCUGUUAAAAGUAUUGUAAAUACUCUUGUAAAUGGUCAAUACUUCGAGUGCCAAGCUACACACUAUUUAUUUUUUUAAGAACUCCCAAUAAGGUGAGACAUAAAAAUUGCACCAAUGUCAAGUUAAUUUG